rnacentral:rRNA from 1 species
CAGCCGCCGCGGUAAUACGUAGGGUGCGAGCGUUAAUCGGAUUUACUGGGCGUAAAGCGUGCGCAGGCGGCCCGUUAAGACAGGUGUGAAAUCCCUGGGCUCAACCUAGGAAUUGCGCUUGUGACUGGCGGGCUCGAGUACGGUAGAGGGGGGUGGAAUUCCUGGUGUAGCAGUGAAAUGCGUAGAGAUCAGGAGGAACACCGAUGGCGAAGGCAGCCCCCUGGGCCUGUACUGACGCUCAUGCACGAAAGCGUGGGGAGCAACAAGGAUUAGAUACCCUGGUAGUCCACGCCCUAAACGAGGGGUACUAGCCGUUUGGUGCGCGAUAGCGCUGAGUGGCGAAGCUAACGCGAGAAGUACCCCGCCUGGGGAGUACGGCCGCAAGGUUGAAACUUAAAGGAAUUGGCGGG